rnacentral:lncRNA from 1 species
GUAUUGAGGAUCAGAAGGUAAAUACCGACUCUGAGGGUGUUGGGUUGGUGGUGGAGCUGGGGCUGGGGUGGGAAAUGGAGGUGGGACAGGGCCAGGGGCUGGGACUGGAGCAGGAGCUGGGGCUUGGGGGUUGGGUAAUUGGUUUGAAGGUAUAUAGUAGGAUUGUUGGGUCAAAUUCUGAGGUGGGGCUUGAGAGUGUGGCGCCACAGGCUGUUGUGGUGGUGCUACUUGAUGAGGCAGGGCAAGAGCUAAUUGCUGGUUUUGCAUCUCAGAUGUGUGGUCAGUUUUUUUAGAAUCAGAGGCAGGUGGUGAUGCUCUCUCCUCAGUGGAUUGUGA